AAGGCACAAAACUUGGUUCUUUGGCGGUUGGCCAAAAAACCUUAGACCGUACAAUGAUUUGUGACCCUUCAAAACUCAACCCUAUCAGACAAAAUCAUAUUCUUUAAUUUGUCUCAUUAGGGAAAAUAAAAUUGAAUUCUAAUUUUUCUCCUCGAGGUGUAAUUUAGGCUAUCUCCCUGUACAGUGUCCCUGUGUAUUAGUCGGAGUUCUCCAGAAAAACAGAACCUAUGUAUAGACAGGUAUAUAGAUAGAUACAUACAGUUGACACGGGAACAACACAGGGGCUAGUAAAAUAAUCUGCAAUACCUUAACCCUACUGUUGACUGCAAGCCUUACUGAUAACAUAAAUGGUCAAUUAACACAUACUUUGUAUGUUACCUGUAUCAUAUACUCUAUUCUUACAAUAAAGUAAGCUAGAGAAAAGAAAAUGUUAAGACCAUAAUAAAGAGAAAAUACACUUAAGUACUGUGCUGUAAAAAAUCUGCAUAUAAAUGGACACAGUUCAAACCCAUGUUGUUCAAGUCUCAAUUGUAUACAGUUUAUGUAUACAGAGAGAGAGAGAGAGGGAGAACUACUGUACGGAACUGGCCCACACACUCAAGAAGGCUAAGAAGUCUAAGAGCUGUAGUCCCAGGUCAAGGAGAGUGAGGCAGAGAGAAAGAAUUCAUCUAACUCUUGGUUAUUAAAUUAACCAUCACUCUGUUUUCUCUCUUUUUUCCCCUUUCCUGUUUUGGUCUCUAUCUUUAUUUUUAGGAGCUUUUCUCAGAUGUGUAGUGAUCCUUGGUUUUCCAUUUAUAUUUUAGAACGGGGAGCUGCUGGGAAUCUCUGAGCACGAGGGGGAGCUGUCAAUGUGGGCUUCCCGGUGUGGCGAUCCGACGAGGCUGUUGCUUUGUAUAACCUCUAGUCUGCUAUCUUUAGGUCUCUCCCGAAAAUAAGCUUUCAGCCCCUGCCGGGUGGAUACCAUCCACGCUACUCGUGAUCUGGGAGCCAAGCCAGUGUGGAGUGGGGAGAAUCUCAACAUUUGGCACGUAAGCUUUCACAGAGUUUGCUGGGAAAGUGUUUAGGAGUACUAUUUACGGUAUAGUGGUGCAUCCUCCGUUUUGCCUGGUGUGUCCCCUUAGGCCAAGAGACACAUUUUGUGUUUAGCCUCUAGUCUUGUUCUGGGGUGGGGACUGUUCAGUUGUCUGGCCUUGGGGACAUGGGGAGGGGGCUUGGGGGUAUAACUGCUCCUCAAAGACCUAUUUUCAAUGCCGUCUGUACCCAUGAUCCUGAGGCACAAAACCUUUGGGAGUUCUCCGUGCAGACUGAGUUGCUUUCUUACCUUUCAUCACUAUUGGCUUCAGAUUCAGCUUUUCAGGUACACUAGGUCAGUUGUUACUCGUCCCUCUGCUUUCAAGUCCCCUCUCCCCCCAUUCUAUUAUGUCUUUAUGACUUUAUCCUGUACAAAACCCUUUUGUUAUCAUUCUAGUGGGGUUUCUAGAAGGAGCUGAAAUGAGCGCACUUGUUCUGCCACUUAGUCUGCCAUCUGCUCCCAGUGGGGUCGGGGAGGAAAGGGCCGCGCAUAGACUGAGGGACAAUUUGAGGAAGAAAGAGAUUGGUGUGAUUGCCGAGUGCAAAGGGGCUGAAGGAUUUGGAGGGAUGGAGAAAACUCAGGGGAGCUGACCUUGUGGUGUGUGCUUAGUAUGAAAGAUAGGCUAGUUCCAGGUAUUCUCUUGGGCAGAGUCCAGGAUGUUGCUGAAUCAGGGUCAGGUCGCUAUUCAGAGAGCUGCUUUAACCUGUGUCCCAGAGUAUGUGUCAAGGACCUUAGAAAUGGUCAUGCUUUGUUUCGCCUUAACUUAAUUUGUCGGAUUCUUUCCUCCGAGACAAGCUAACAUAUCUAUAAGGACUCCUUUACGAUGGUGUUUAUUAGCAGCAUGAUUUGUAACACUAAAUAUUAGAAACAGUCUACACCACGGUUCAGCCACCGUGACCCAUGGAUCAAAUCCAGCCUUUCUCCCAUUUUGAUAUCUGUCCUGAGAAACUCAACGUUUCCCAGAAAAAAGUAACAUAUUUUUGAAACAAAAACGAUAACUUGUAUCCCUCUACAAGAUGCAUUUGUGCCCCGAUUCCAAAAAUCUGCUUAUUCUUUGGGUCGCACGUUUAUAUUUGGCAGCAAAUUUCAGAAGUUUGCAUGAACAAGCUUCCUUGGGCAAGUGUGGAAGGAAGAGCUUGUGUGCACGCCCAGGAGAAACGAAACUGCUGGCUUUGUGGGUUUGGAGGUCUUCCUACAACUUGGAGCAACCCUUUGAAGAUCUAUACUUGACUUUCUGGGCCUGCAAGCUUUCUUUUUUUGUUUUUUCUUGAAGCUCUAAGCAUGGACUUCUGUUGUGCUCGGUCCAACUUCCACGUGAACCAUCAGGAAGAAAUUUCUCAUCCAUAGUGCAGACAAGUAGUAAGCUGGCACAUAGUAGGUCCUUCAUGGAGUCAAAGAUUCUCAGGAUUAAAAGGGACUUUAUGGAUCAUGAGCCUGCAGUGGACAUCUGUGGUUUGGACCCAUUCGUUUUGCAGCAAAACUUCUCAAAAAAGGUCUCUGUAUAUCUGCCAUUUCCACUUGCCCACAUCCACAUUUUCCUCAAGCCUGUCCAGCCAUGUUUGCUACUCCCACUCACUGAAAUUGCUCUAUCCAAGGUUUCAGAAGGAGCUCAUCUCAGCCAACUGGGUGAUCAUUUUUCUACCCCUACCUCUUCCUCUGCCAUCCAGAAGCAUUCAACACAGGGACCUCUCCUUCCAGUUUGAAAUAUUCUUCUUUAUAGCUUUCAUGAAACCACAAUCUCCAGGCUCCUCCUGCCCUCCCAGCCUCUCCUUCUUUUUUUUUUUUUUUCAACGUUUAUUUAUUUUUUUGGGGACAGAGAGAGACAGAGCAUGAACGGGGGAGGGGCAGAGAGAGAGGGAGACACAGAAUCGAAAACAGGCUCCAGGCUCUGAGCCAUCAGCCCAGGGCCUGACGCGGGGCUCGAACUCACGGACCGCGAGAUCGUGACCUGGCUGAAGUCGGACGCUUAACCGACUGCGCCACCCAGGUGCCCCAGCAGCCUCUCCUUCUUAAUCCCAGUUAUUGAAUUUUAGUUUUUGCCCAUCCUGGGGCUCUCUCCACACCACCUCCCUGGUGUUAUUCCUUCCAGGCUUCUGGCUUUCAAUACUGUCUUUUACUGAUGAUUCUCAAAUUUAUCUUCUGAACUCCAGACUUAAGUAUUCAACUGCUUACUUAACUUUGCCUUUUGGAUGCCUGACAAACAUCUCAAACUCAGUAUGUGAAAAACCCUCUCCUCCCUGGGUCUUUCUCUUUUCAGUAAUGGGACCACUACGAACCCACUUGCUCAGGCCAAAAGCUUACAAGUCACACUUGAUUUCUCUCGUCUCCCUAUCUGGUGGCUCAGCAAGUCCUGUGGGCUUCCUCUCCUCAGUAUAUGUGCUAAAUUCAUCUACUUCUCUCAGCUUUCCACUUGUCCAUCUCUCAUCUGGAUGACUGCCAUAGCCUGCUCCUGGUCUCUCUGCUUUCACCUCUAUCCUCCUAUAAUCCAUUCCCAGAGCUGAUCUUUUAAAAAUGGAGGUCAGAUAAUGUGGCUCACUGGUUUGAAACCAUCCGGUGGCUUCCUAUCACUCGGAAUGAAAUUCAAAUCCCUCAAUUAGAGUCAUAAGGCAUGACUUAGCCCUGGGGUCGGCAAACUUUUCUGUAAAGGCCUAGAUAGUAAAUAUUUUAGGCUUUGUGAGCCAUAUGGUCUGUGUUUAAACCACUCAGCUCUGCUGUUGUAACAAGAUGGCAGCCAUAGACAAUAUGGUAAACAAAUGAACAUGGCUGUGUUCCAAUAAAACUUUAUUUACAAAAUCAGGCAAUGGGCUGGAUUUGGCCUAUGGGUCACAGUUUGCUGACCCCUAUCUAAGUUCCUUUCUACCCUUUCCAACUCCAUCAUACAUCACUCUGCCCUCCAUUAUGGUAUCACUCUGGCUGGGAAAGAUAGCCCCCCAGGAUGGCUGCCACCAGUUCCUUUUGUCCUUAUAUACUAAUGUCAGACCCCUUGAAUAUGCUGGCCCCAUGACUCCUCUAGCCAAUGGAAUGUGGUAAAAUUGAUGUUCUAGGACUUCUGAGCUGGGGCCUUGAGAAGAUUGGCAACUUCUGCUUCCUCUCUUGGAAUCCAGCCACUGUGCUGUGAGAAAACAAAAGCCAUACAGAGAGGCCAUGUGGAGGAGAACUGAGAAGUUCUGGGCCAUAGUCGAAGAUGAGUCCGUGGCCUGCAGCAUUGACUGUUGGCCAUGUGAGUCAGCCAUCUUGGAUAUUCCAGUCUCCUCGAGCAGUCAGCUGGAAUCACAUGGACAGAGAACUACCUAGUUGAGUCCAAUCAUUUCAUAGAGCUGUUUGAGAAAAUGGUUAUGACCUUAAGCCAUUAAGUUUCAGUGUUUGGUUUUACAGCAAUAGGUAGCUGAAACAGUAGUCUUCUGUCUGUUCCUCAUACCCACUUAGGUCAUUUCUCCAUGAGCAUCAUCUACUCUCUCUCCCUGGAACA